UACGGAGGAUGCAAGCGUUAUCCGGAAUGAUUGGGCGUAAAGCGUCCGCAGGUGGUAAUGUAAGUCUGCUGUCAAAGCGUCUGGCUCAACCAGAUAAAGGCAGUGGAAACUACAUAGCUAGAGUAAGGUAGGGGUAGAGGGAAUUCCUGGUGUAGCGGUGAAAUGCGUAGAGAUCAGGAAGAACACCGGUGGCGAAAGCGCUCUGCUGGACCUUAACUGACACUGAGGGACGAAAGCUAGGGGAGCGAAUGGG
rnacentral:rRNA from 1 species